UACGGAGGAUCCAAGCGUUAUCCGGAUUUAUUGGGUUUAAAGGGUGCGUAGGCGGAUUGAUAAGUUAGAGGUGAAAUGUCCGAGCUCAACUCGGGAACUGCCUCUAAUACUGUUGAUCUAGAGAGUAGAUGCGGUAGGCGGAAUGUAUGGUGUAGCGGUGAAAUGCUUAGAGAUCAUACAGAACACCGAUUGCGAAGGCAGCUUACCAAUCUAUAUCUGACGUUGAGGCACGAAGGCGUGGGGAGCAAACAGG
rnacentral:rRNA from 1 species